rnacentral:rRNA from 1 species
GAUCAUGGCUCAGGACGAACGCUGGCGGCGUGCCUAAUACAUGCAAGUCGAACGAGAGCGACCGGUGCUUGCACUGGUCAAUCUAGUGGCGAACGGGUGAGUAACACGUGGGUAACCUGCCCAUCAGAGGGGGAUAACAUUCGGAAACGGAUGCUAAAACCGCAUAGGUUCUUGAGCCGCAUGGCUCAAGAAGGAAAAGAGGCUUCGACUUCUGCUGAUGGAUGGACCCGCGGUG